rnacentral:misc_RNA from 1 species
AAGUAAAAGGUUGUUUUUGGUAAAUGGAUAGCGAAUAAUAACGCAUCAAUUUUCAACGCGUUGUGUUUCGUAAAAUGUACAAAAGUGUUAGAAAAAAGAUUGAAACUGGAGGAACGAGUUGAAAUCGAAAGUUGUUAAAUGUAUUGUUAUUACUUCUUUAAAAGCACACAAAUUCGCCACCCGAAAGCAAAAUACAACUAUUCUCUGGUCGGUUGGGUGGAAUCGAUAUCGAAUAUUUUGUAAAUAGGCACUUGUUUCGUUCUUCAAUCUUUUAAACGAAUGAUGUGAUGCAUAUUUAGAAAUAAUGUGUCUUUUAGUGUUUUGAAAUCAAUAAAAAGAGUGAUGAGUGUCUUUUAUUCUCUUCCUUCUCUAAUGAUGCAAAAUCUCCAAUAAAUUUGAUGAUUUUGAUUAGAUGAUAUAUAUUUAGAAAAAAAGUGUUUGACUACCCUUCUUAAACUAAAUCAAGAACGUUGAGAUCAUCCAUUUUUUGUUUGAAAAAGGAUACACUCCUCAAGAAGUAAGACUUUGUCCCAGAGUGUUUAGUGCCAAAAUUGAAACUUUGGACCAACGCCUUCAAGAAUAUCAGAAAGUUCGAAGCACUUUACCGCCAAUACCACAGCUAUGUGCG